GUGUCAGCCGCCGCGGUAAUACGAAGGGUGCAAGCGUUGUUCGGAUUUAUUGGGCGUAAAGCGCGCGCAGGCGGGUCUGCAAGUCAGAUGUGAAAUCUCGGGGCUCAACCCCGAAACUGCGUCUGAAACUGCAAAUCUAGAAUGUCGGAGGGGGCAGGGGAAUUUCACGUGUAGGGGUAAAAUCCGUAGAGAUGUGAAGGAACACCGGAGGCGAAGGCGCCUGCCUGGACGACUAUUGACGCUGAGGCGCGAAAGCGUGGGGAGCAAACAGGAUUAGAAACCCUUGUAGUCC
rnacentral:rRNA from 1 species